UACGGGGGGGAGCAAGCGUUGUUCGGAUUUACUGGGCGUAAAGGGCGCGUAGGCGGCGUGACAAGUCACUUGUGAAAUCUCCGGGCUUAACUCGGAACGGUCAAGUGAUACUGUCGGACUAGAGUACAGAAGGGGCAACUGGAAUUCUCGGUGUAGCGGUGAAAUGCGUAGAUAUCGAGAGGAACACCUGCGGCGAAGGCGGGUUGCUGGGCUGAUACUGACGCUGAUGCGCGAAAGCCAGGGGAGCGAACGGG
rnacentral:rRNA from 1 species